AAAAGAAAAAGAAAAUGGUGGAAAGAUGCUUGUCCUUGGACAUUGUUUGAAGGCAAGGAAUGGAAUAAGGAAUACAUUCUCUCUUGUCUCCUUCAGUAAGUUUGGUACUGAUUCAGCCCCCACAGAAAAAAAUAGAAAAAGGGCCCCAGUUCUUUUCAUUCUUCAAUCGGCACAAGACAGUUGGCCCCGCACCGACGAAUACUAAGCACUUGGGACUUGUACUUACUUCCUUGCAUUUGAUGAAGGACAUGACAGUUCUUGCCCGGAGAUGACAGCUUGCCCUUGACUGCGCCUUCAUUUGCCAGAUUCUCUUGUUUGAAAGAAGUAAUGGAUGAUCGUCCAUGAAUGUAUCGAGAUUCACCCCAAGGAUUGCAGAUGAUGAAUUAUUGUAAUGAGAUUCAGGGUUUUAUUAAUUACACAAUAUCUUAUCUAAGAAAUAUUAGUGGAGGUGGUAUUAGAAGUUCAUACAAGAGGUGUAAAAAUAAAAAAGUUUCUCAAUUCAGAUGUUGUAACGAUACAUCUUCUAUAAAAAGAGUUCAUGAAGCAA